UAACAUUGGAGUCAGUAGACAGAGUAAAGCAAACUGAGCUCAGUGUGGUGGUUUCAUCCAAUCAGCCUGAAUGGAAUAAAAAAAGCUGACUCCUUUUGGAUUUGUAAAAGGGGAACUAACGCCUCCUGCCUGACUGUUGAGCUGGGAUGUUGGUCUUUUCCAGCCCUCAGAUUCCGACCAGAACAUCAGCUCUUCUUGUGUGCAGAGGCUGUCAGGUCUCAGGCUAGAAUUUACACCACCUGCUCUCCCAGUUCUCAGGCCUUCGGACUCGGACUAGAAUUACACAUCUCCUCUCCUGGGACUCCAGUUUAUUGACUGCAGAUCUUGGGACUUCUCAGCUUUCAUAAUCAUGAUCUUCAAUUUUAACCCUACAGUAUAUGCUGCAGCUUAAAGAUGGCAGGGAAGAAUGGAUAUCACCCAGAAAUGGAUGUAGGGACUGCUGAGAUCUUGGAUUAUCCAUCUGCAUAGAGGAUAUUUGUCCAUAUGAGGAAGAGUUGCAGUUGGUGAGCUAAGAGCAUUUUUCUGUUGCGUCUGUUAUUGUUUUGUUGAAAUUUAAGAAUGGGAAGCAGGGCAUGUGUGGUUACUGACUGGACCAAGAGCCUGGCAAAAAUAUGAACUGGCUCAUUCAACACCGAUCCCAGUGCCCUGCUGGCACCCCUUCCAGUACUGCUGGAGCUCAGCAUCAAAACAACAUGCCUCUCCCAGACUGUCUUCCAUCGACUGCACUUCAUGCAACUUAGUGUAUGCCAGUCAAAUAACUCACUCAAGAUUCUGAUGGGAAGGUGAUUUAUGUGAGCUGGAAUCUGUCGUGGGACAUUCUGGAUUCAAUAGACAGAUGUCCUAUUGGGCAGCUUCCUGAUUUGGGCAGAUGUAACUUGCUUUUGAAGCCAGGAGGAAGUGGCAGAUUCUUGGUGGUGGCAGAGACAGCAGCUUCCACCGACAGCCACUGUGAUGGGGAAAGCACAGCUCAAAACUUCAGUUUUCUUAAAGCUUCAAGAGCCAUGUAGCGCUUAGAUUUUUUCUGCUUUUUACCUUUACAGUUGGUGUAGUACUCAGGUGUAGAUAAACAGCAAGUUGCUUUAUAAUAGUACUCUGAUUUCUUGUUACUAUGUCUCCUUUUUGAUAAUUUACUUGAACAGGUAAUCAAUAUGACUAAGACAUUUUUAAUGUCCAAAUUUCUCUAAAUCAAAAGUAUAAGGUGUAGAAUUCAGGAGAGAGAUUAGGAUUAGUGGAAUAGCAGAAAGAAAUGGUUAAAGUUAGGAGAGUGGCUAUAAAAGCCAAGAGAAGGCUACACAGCUAGGAAAGAUGGGUGGAAUUUUUCGAAUAACAGGGAGAAAAUUAAUAGUAACAGAUAAAGAAGUCAGAGACAGGAGGACUAUCAAACACUGUGUCAAGAAAGCCAGGGUGAUUGAUUUCUGCAAAAGGGAUGAGGGGCCUUAGUGUUAGCUGUCAAGGGCUUAUCAAGGAGGAUGCGAACUGGAAAAGGACCGUUGUUUAUGUUACGCAAUCAUGUGACCUUCAGGUUUGUCAAGCCGUUGUUAGACUUACGGUAGAAGGGAAAUUGUUGAGGGUUAAUGAAUGACAGGAUAAAGCAGAAUUUGAAUAUUUGAGGGUGGAAAAAUGUUCUCUUUCCAAAAAUUUUGUUAAUUUAAAAGGCACAUCAGAAGCCAGUUUUCUGAGGAAACAGCAUGACCAAAGGAAAAGUUGUAUUAAAAAAAAUUUUUUUUAAUUAGAAUCUAGUCAGUUACAAUAUGUCAAUUUCUGGUGUACAGCACAAUGUCCCAGUUAUGCAUAUACAUACAUAUGUUUGCUUUCAUACUCUUCUUCGUUACAGGUUGUUACAAGAUAUUGCAUAUAGUUCCCUGUGUCUAUUUUGUUUUAUAGACAAAGCGAAGAGGCUAGUGGGGAGGGAGAAAUUGAUGAUGAAAUAGAAAGAGAGUAUAAUUAAUAAAGAAGGGUUCAGAAAUAAUAGGGAAGAAAUAGGAUGAGAAGCUGGGGUUAUGCCAAUCAUCUAAUCAGAGACAAGAGGAAUAAUUAUUUCUUCUAACAAAAAUUAUUUAUUGGUUAAAUUAAUGUUUUUAACCUAGACAGUAAAUCUCUCACGAUGAAGUUUCUCUACUCUCUCUGUUCGUAAAAAAAAAAAAAAAAAAAAAUACAGAAGCAUAAUUUUGUUGUUACCGUGAUGUUCGGAGAUCGUGCUUUACCAUUCACAUUCUGGGAAAACAAGAGUUCAUUGCCACCCUACUCACAAUUCAGAACAGCUCUGCACCUUUUUGAAACACAGAAUUGAAAGAUGUUGCAGCUAGAAUGGACCUUGUAAGAGAAUGUUGAAUUCUUUGCUCCUCAUUUAAAUUAAGGUUUUAAAAAAAGGUCAGGCACAAGAUAAGCACAGGAAUUCUAACUGACACACAACCAGGAAGAAAAAAAAAAGUGUUGUCUCUUCCAAAUACACUUCAGAGAGAGUUCGCACAAAGCAUGUGGUUUAAGGAGACUUGUCUAAGUCCACACAACUUAAGUUCAUUGGCAACAAAAUCUCAAUUAUGUGCGUUUGAUAGAACUGACCUGGGUGAAACAGAGUAUACCUGCAUACCUCAGGGCCAAAUGAAAUCAUAACACCCUUGUCUUACAACACUGUUUCCCUCUUUUUAUCUUGAAUGGUAUGAGUUGAUUAUCCAUAUUGAAUUCAAUGAGCACUUUUCUCAUCAUUCUUUUACCCAUCCUCAUGGUUUAGUUUUAAAUGAAUGAUUUAAAACAUAAUAUAGUUUCUCAAAAGGGUAAAAAUACUCUGUGAAUCAUACUUUGGGGACCUUGAAGACAAAGAAGCCAUUCUGUUUGAGUUUCUCUGAGAACUGUUCCAAAAACCAUAGUCUUAACAAAAUUCUAUAUGGCAAACCCACAAAUCAGAGCAGGUACAACCACCACAAAC